rnacentral:rRNA from 1 species
GACUCCUACGGGAGGCAGCAGUGAGGAAUAUUGGUCAAUGGGCGAGAGCCUGAACCAGCCAAGUAGCGUGCAGGAAGACGGCCCUAUGGGUUGUAAACUGCUUUUGUAUGGGGAUAAAGUCAGUCACGUGUGAUUGUUUGCAGGUACCAUACGAAUAAGGACCGGCUAAUUCCGUGCCAGCAGCCGCGGUAAUACGGAAGGUCCGGGCGUUAUCCGGAUUUAUUGGGUUUAAAGGGAGCGUAGGCUGGAGAUUAAGUGUGUUGUGAAAUGUAGACGCUCAACGUCUGACUUGCAGCGCAUACUGGUUUCCUUGAGUACGCACAACGUUGGCGGAAUUCGUCGUGUAGCGGUGAAAUGCCUAGAUAUGACGAAGAACUCCGAUUGCGAAGGCAGCUGACGGGAGCGCAACUGACGCUGAAGCUCGAAGGUGCGGGUAUCGAACAGGAUUAGAUACCCUGGUAGUCCGCACAGUAAACGAUGGAUGCCCGCUGUUGGUACCUGGUAUCAGCGGCUAAGCGAAAGCAUUAAGCAUCCCACCUGGGGAGUACGCCGGCAACGGUGAAACUCAAAGGAAUUGACGGGGGCCCGCACAAG